rnacentral:rRNA from 1 species
UACGGAAGGCAGCAGUGGGGAAUAUUGCACAAUGGGCGCAAGCCUGAUGCAGCCAUGCCGCGUGUAUGAAAAAGGCCUUCGGGUUGUAAAGUACUUUCAGUCGUGAGGAAGGUGUUAAGGUUAAUAACCUUAGCAAUUGACGUUAGCGACAGAAGAAGCACCGGCUAACUCCGUGCCAGCAGCCGCGGUAAUACGGAGGGUGCGAGCGUUAAUCGGAAUUACUGGGCGUAAAGGGCACGCAGGCGGUUAAUUAAGUUGGAUGUGAAAUCCCCGGGCUUAACCUGGGAAUGGCAUUCAAGACUGGUUAGCUAGAGUCUUGUAGAGGGGGUAGAAUUCCAUGUGUAGCGGUGAAAUGCGUAGAGAUGUGGAGGAGUACCGGUGGCGAAGGCGGCCCCUGGACAAAGACUGACGCUCAUGUGCGAAAGCGUGGGGAGCAAACGAGGGAUUAGAUACC